GAGAAAGAACGCAAGAACUGCUAACUCAUGCCCCCAUGCCUAAUAACCUGGCUUUCUCA
rnacentral:tRNA from 4 species